rnacentral:rRNA from 1 species
GUCGACGAGAGAAGAGGAGCUUGCUUUUCUGAUCUAGUGGCGGACGGGUGCGUAACACGUGAGCAAUCUGCCUUUCAGAGGGGGAUACCGAUUGGAAACGAUCGUUAAUACCGCAUAACAUAAUUGAACCGCAUGAUUUGAUUAUCAAAGAUUUAUCGCUGAAAGAUGAGCUCGCGUCUGAUUAGCUAGUUGGUAAGGUAACGGCUUACCAAGGCGACGAUCAGUAGCCGGACUGAGAGGUUGAUCGGCCACAUUGGGACUGAGACACGGCCCAGACUCCUACGGGAGGCAGCAGUGGGGAAUAUUGCACAAUGGAGGAAACUCUGAUGCAGCGAUGCCGCGUGAGGGAAGAAGGUUUUAGGAUUGUAAACCUCUGUCUUCAGGGACGAAAAAAAAGACGGUACCUGAGGAGGAAGCUCCGGCUAACUACGUGCCAGCAGCCGCGGUAAUACGUAGGGAGCGAGCGUUGUCCGGAAUUACUGGGUGUAAAGGGAGCGUAGGCGGGAUCGCAAGUCAGAUGUGAAAACUAUGGGCUUAACCCAUAAACUGCAUUUGAAACUGUGGUUCUUGAGUGAAGUAGAGGUAAGCGGAAUUCCUAGUGUAGCGGUGAAAUGCGUAGAUAUUAGGAGGAACAUCAGUGGCGAAGGCGGCUUACUGGG